GCAAACUUGGUCAUUUAGAGGAAGUAAAAGUCGUAACAAGGUUUCCGUAGGUGAACCUGCGGAAGGAUCAUUAUCGAGGAAAGGGUUUUCUAGGCCCGAUCUCCAACCCUUGUGACUAAAAUACCAUGUUGCUUUGGCAGGCCCGCCUUUGUGGGCCGUGGGGGAUGGCAAAUCCCCUUACCUGUGCCUGCCAGAAGCCUUCAAAGCUCCAGUGAAAUGUGUCGUCUGAUUAAAUAUAACUAAUAAAACUUUCAACAACGGAUCUCUUGGCUCUGGCAUCGAUGAAGAACGCAGC
rnacentral:misc_RNA from 1 species